AUUGAACGCUGGCGGCAUGCCUUACACAUGCAAGUCGAACGGCAGCACGGGAGCAAUCCUGGUGGCGAGUGGCGAACGGGUGAGUAAUAUAUCGGAACGUGCCCAGUCGUGGGGGAUAACGUAGCGAAAGCUACGCUAAUACCGCAUACGAUCUAAGGAUGAAAGCGGGGGAUCGCAAGACCUCGCGCGAUUGGAGCGGCCGAUAUCAGAUUAGCUAGUUGGUGUGGUAAAGGCUCACCAAGGCGACGAUCUGUAGCUGGUCUGAGAGGACGACCAGCCACACUGGAACUGAGACACGGUCCAGACUCCUACGGGAGGCAGCAGUGGGGGAAUUUUUGGACAAUGGACGCAAGUCUGAUCCAGCCAUUCCGCGUGCAGGAUGAAGGCCCUCGGGUUGUAAACUGCUUUUGUACGGAACGAAAAGGUUUGUCUUAAUACGAUGAGCUCAUGACGGUACCGUAAGAAUAAG
rnacentral:rRNA from 1 species